rnacentral:tRNA from 1 species
GUCUAUAGCUCAGUUGGUUAGAGCACAUCACUCAUAAUGAUGGGGUCACAGGUUCGAAUCCCGUCGUAGCCACCA